rnacentral:rRNA from 1 species
UACGGAGGGUGCAAGCGUUGUUCGGAAUUAUUGGGCGUAAAGGGCGUGUAGGUGGCUUUUCAAGUCCGGUGUGAAAUCCCACGGCUCAACCGUGGAACUGCAUUGGAAACUGGAUGGCUCGAGGGUUGGAGGGGGUCGCGGAAUUCCCGGUGUAGAGGUGAAAUUCGUAGAUAUCGGGAGGAACACCAGUGGCGAAGGCGGCGACCUGGCCAAUCACUGACACUGAAACGCGAAAGCGUGGGGAGCAAACAGG